GUCCGCCAUAUUGAGGGCUGGUCCAAAGCAAUCAGGGCGGAGGCGUAGUGGGUUAUAAAAGCCUCCGACAGCGAGUUUGCAUGGAUGCAGGCUUGAUAAUCUCACUCCACAGGUGUGCAACCGUUUUUCGGGCAUGGAGGAAACAACGUCAUACAAAUGGACUGUGGUAAAAACCAAGGCACUUAUUGCUUUAAGGAUGGAAAAGGACGACCUGUUCUGAAAAAAACGCAAUGCUGCCAAAGAAGCAUGGGAGUCAAUCAUUAAGGAACUGGACCUUGGGCAACAUGUGUCUCACAAACAGGCCUCCAAGAAAUGGGAGAACCUAAAAAAGAAAUACAAGGAACUUAAAAGGCCAAGGACUGGAACAGGGACUGAUCAGGGGGAAGAAACCCCUGCAACAUGGCCCUUCUUCAUGGCCAUAGGUGCAAGGCCUUCAAUUAGUCCUCCUGUCCUUGUUGCCUCAGCCUUGGCAAACCCCACAAUCCUCUUUGAUCCGGAGGCUGCUUCCUGCUCCUCUUCCUUCCCCCCCCCCCAAAUGUGGCUGAUGAUCCAGACCCCUCACCACCCUCAUCACUGUCUGAGGCUGGAACCACCCAGCAGCCCCCCCCCCCCAAAAAAGAAAAGGUGCUAUGGGAGUGCUGGAGUGCCUAGAACGCGAGGCAGAAAAAGAGGACGAACGCCACAGACAAAUAAUGCAGCACUCAGAUACAUUUCUAACCCUGUUCGAAAAAAUGGUCGACAAAAUGUGAUUUAUUUUUUCCCCCCCACCAUUGGCCAUUUCUAUGUUGAUUAUUGAUGUUACUUAAAAGACUUGUUUUUGUUCGCUUGUAUUAUUUAUUUGGAAGACAAUAAACCUAAUUUAACGU